rnacentral:tRNA from 1 species
GGGGAGGUGGGUGAGUGGCUGAAACCGCACCCCUGCUAAGGGUGUAUACCGCAAGGUAUCGAGGGUUCGAAUCCCUCCCUCUCCG